UUACGGUCACAUCAUGCUGAAACACUGGCCUCGUACGAUCACUGAAGUUAAGCAACGUCGAGCCUGAUCAGUACCUAGGUAGGUAACCGCUUGGGAAUACCAGCUGCUGUAAG